AGGGACACAUCUGGAGAGGAGCACUGUUCUAUGACAACAGACCCCUUUGAGUCAGGCGGUAGGACUGUGGCUGCUCUUCAUGGUGGAUGGCCCAGCUCAUAUCAGGUGCCUGAAGGAGGCAGGUUCUGAGGAUGUGUCCGGAUGGCUUCUACUCCAGCAGUCCUCAGGAGAGCUCAUCACCUUACAUCCCUGGUGGAAUAUGAGAAAGAGAGAGCAAGGGGAGUAGCAGAGGGAGAGGGA